rnacentral:rRNA from 1 species
UCUCUUACGUAUGUACUUGUUAAGCCUUUAAGAGAAAAGUUUACAACUUAAGGAAUUAUAACAAAGAAGUAACACAUAAUAAGUUUACCUUAUUUAGUGUGUAUCAAUCGAGUUUCUGACCUAUCAGCUUUUGAUGUUAGGGUAUUGGCCUAACAUGGCUAUGACGGGUAACGGGGAAUUAGAGUUCGAUUCCGGAGAGGGAGCCUGAGAAAUAGCUACCACAUCUAAGGAAGGCAGCAGGCGCGUAAAUUACCCAAUUCUAAAGAAGAGAGGUAGUGACAAGAAAUAACAAUACAAGGCCAUUUCAUGGUUUUGUAAUUGGAAUGAUGGGAAUUUAAAACCUUCCCAAAAUUCAAUUGGAGGGCAAGUCUGGUGCCAGCAGCCGCGGUAAUUCCAGCUCCAAUAGCGUAUAUUAAAAUUGUUGCAGUUAAAACGCUCGUAGUUGAAUUUCAAAGAAUCAAUAUUUUAAGUAAUGCUUUUGGUAUAAGAUGCUUAGGCAAUACAACGUAUCUGCUCUUUGCAUUCCUUAUCCAAAAUGUGUUCUUAUUAUAAAAAGGAUUCUUUUUAAAAACUCCUUUACUUUUUGUACUGGAGAUUUUGUUACUUUGAGUAAAUUAGAGUGUUCAAAGCAAACAGUUAAAGCAUUUUACUGCGUUUGAAUACUACAGCAUGGAAUAACAAAAUUGAACAAGUCAAAAUUCUGUUCCUUUUUCUUAUUUUGGCU